CUGCAGGAGGGGCUGCAGUCUCAGCAGGCUAAGCCACUGUAAGUGACUUCUGAAGUGAGGUGAUGCUUUUAGUGAAGUGGAUGGAAAACGUCCACGUUGGCGUGUACAGAGGAGGCAAGACCCAGAAGAUAUCUGUAGAGGCUCUGGCAGUUUGCGAAUGUUGCUGACGUCUGCAGAGCCAAAGGCUCACGCAGCUGAUUUCCCAACAAGCAUUCCUCCACCGGCCUCAAGGCAGCGCACCUUCGCCGUGCCUGCUCUAAUUAUCACCUCCUAAUGAUGUGUUUAGUGUCUUCCUACCGAGUAGACACCAGAUCUAUUCCCAAAGAUGAGUUAGUCUCUACAAUAAAAGAGUGUUUCCUUUU
rnacentral:lncRNA from 1 species